rnacentral:rRNA from 1 species
GACGGAGGGUGCUAGCGUUGUUCGGAAUCAUCUGGGCGUAAAGGGCGCGUAGGCGGCCUUGCAAGUCGGUUGGUGAAAGCCCGGGGCUCAACCCCCGGAGGUGCGGCCGAGACUGCAGGCUGGAGGCCGGAAGAGGAGGGUGGAAGUACCCAGGUGUAGAGGUGAAAUUCGUAGAUAUUGGGUGGAACACCGGUGGCGAAAGCGGACUCUCUGGUCCGGACCUGACGCUGAGGCGCGAAAGCGUGGGGAGCAAACAGG